rnacentral:tRNA from 1 species
GGGACUAUAGUUAAUCAUAACAUUUGAGUUGCAUUCAAAAAGUACUACCAAUUCCAGUAGUUAGCCUCA